GUAUUAAACGCGAGGGUCGUGGUUACUGCAUAACACUACAUAAGUUCGGCGUCAGACAGUUUCUUCACUUCAAAAUUUACGGUGCACUUAUGUUGCCCAUAUGAUGUCUCCGGGCAACCUUCUAAUACUUGCCAUUCUUAUAGAUGCUGCUGCACUCGCAAUAGACACACACCCUAUGGCUCCCCACAGCAAUCAUACAUCCAAGUUGCGUAGUAUAUGCAGUGGAUCGAAUUGACACACAUCCUAUCGCUCCACAUAGCAAUGAUUCAUCUCUUUUGCGUAAGAUAUGCAGUGGAUCGUGCACUCGCUACCCAAAUGGAACGCACAUCGGCUGCCGUGUGGCACACUGCCAGUGUGUCGUCGCAUCAAGAUUUCGCCAAUUGAGGGCAGAAGGCUACUGUUAUCCG
rnacentral:lncRNA from 1 species